rnacentral:lncRNA from 1 species
GUCAUCUUCAGGAUCGAGAGUUUGUUCCAUCAAAACUAAAGCGUGAGCAAAAUAGGGUAGCACAUCGGUUGGCAUUGUACAGUCGUACGGAGUCUACUACUGCCGUAUGGCUGGGGAGGAGCCCACCUUGUAUUGAGGAGUUGGUGCCUCUUGAUUGUAACCCUAUAAUUAUGGAAUAAAACUCUCUUUCUGUCGCAAAAAAAAA